CUCCCACCAGAGUGCCAGCUCGGCAGGGGGGAGGGGGGCGUGUUUUAUUCCGUGAUGCUUCCCGCGUUUGCCAGAGGGACAGAGAACGGGGUCCAGGGAGGAGGCAGGAGCCAUUGUGCCAUCGCCCCCAAAGCAGGGGGUGGCCUGGCCCAGGAGAAGGAGCGAAUGGCCGGCGGAGAGGGUUUGGGUGACGCAGGUGGGAGGGGGGUGAGGACUGCGAACAAAGAUAUAAACGGAGCCCCUUUAAAAUGAAGGGGAAGCUGCCACACCGCCCCCCGGACGCCAGGAACAGCCUGGCACUACUGACGCCUCAAACCUCUGGGAUGUUGAAACAGGGAAAGCGACCUGUGCACCCGGCCGGAAGCCACCUGUGUCCUGAAGAGGUGGUCGCAGAGGGUGGAAAAAAUUAAUAACUUAGGGCGCUCUUCACUGACCCACGAGCGGCCACAUGAAAGGCGCUGAGUCUCGGGCUCGGGUUUCCGGGGAAAGGAAGCUCCGUCGGCGACUGGACGGCCCGCCCAGCAGAGGGAAGGGAGUUCGACGUCGCUGGGAGCGCAGCAGGCGGCGCCCGCUGGGGGGCGGCCAGCCCCGGAUUCCGGACCAGGCCUGCGCCGUUCUACACCUGCCCUUCCUUCCUUCCUUCCUUCCGUCCCCUCUCGUCUCCCAAACGGAACACGGAGACCAAGCACUCCCUACGAGCA